CAAAUCCUGAAGGAACCCAAAGUGGCUGCUUCUGUUUUGAAUCCCUAUGUGAAGCGUUCCAUUAAAGUGAAAAGCCUAAAUGACAUCACAGCAAAAGAGAGGUUCUCUCCCCUCACUACCAAUCUGAUCAUUUGCUUGCUGAAAAUGGUCGAUUAAGCAAUACCCAAGGAGUCGUUUCUGCCUUUUCUACCAUGAUGAGUGUCCAUCGCGGAGAGGUACCUUGCACAGUGACCUCUGCAUC
rnacentral:lncRNA from 1 species